ensembl:misc_RNA Metazoa_SRP Metazoan signal recognition particle RNA
GCCGGGGGUGGUGGCCUGUGCCUGUAGUCCCAGCUACUUGGGAGGCUGAGGCAGAAGAAUUGCUUGAGCCUGGGAGUCAGAGGUUGCAGUGAGCCAAGAUUGCGCCACUACACUCCAGCCUGGGCAACAGAGCAAGAUUCUGUCUCAA